UACAGAGGUCCCGAGCGUUGUUCGGAUUUACUGGGCGUAAAGGGUGCGUAGGCGGUUGGGUAAGUCUGAUGUGAAAUCCCCGGGCCCAACCCGGGAACGGCAUUAGAAACUACCUGGCUGGAGGGUUGGAGGGGGGACUGGAAUUCCCGGUGUAGCAGUGAAAUGCGUAGAUAUCGGGAGGAACGCCAGUGGCGAAGGCGAGUCCCUGGACAACACCUGACGCUGAGGCACGAAGGCGUGGGGAGCGAACGGG
rnacentral:rRNA from 1 species